CUAACCCCAUAUUCGUGACAUCGAACCCAAGAGAGUUCUGGCAUUCCAUCGCCCGAAUCUUUUCAGCCAGGGCAUCGACCUUACGAUCUCUAUCUUCCAUUCUAGCAACAUCACCAUCGUCCUCUCCCAUCAUUGUGAACAUGUCCUCUUGUCUAUCAACAAAAGGAGCUGGAUGACGCGCCGGAGCCCUGGUAGCUCUGGCAUUAACCUCUGCAGCAAGAGGCUGACCAUCAACCCUUAUACCCCUGAG
rnacentral:lncRNA from 1 species